AAAACAGGUAUCGUUAACAUUAUAUUAUAUUUUAAAAAAAUGAUACCCGUGGUAACGUGCCUGGAAAUCAAACCCACCGUGACAUUGGUUAGCUGUAAAAUAUGGUUAUUUUCCCGAUACAAAUAUUAGGUUAAUUAACGAAAACGCCCGAAAAUAUUUUCAAAGAUUAAUGAGUGCCAGGUCAAUACUUACGGACAUAUUAAGAAAAUAAAUACAAUCGUCUAACAUAGACUUCAUCAAAAUGCUAUAUAAGUUUGCACUCAUUCAUCGAUCUCUUCGUAAAUAAAUUGUACAUAUAGGUUCUGCGGCACAGUUUUACUGCAACAUUAAUUGAUACUAAUUGUAUGCAUAUUAAUUAAUUUUAUGGGAUAAUCGGCAUGGCCUAAUUUAACCCUCUGCCAUUUAAUGGAAUCGGCCAAUCAGCGCGCAUUCAUCUAGCCCGAGGCGAUAACAUCUGGUUGAAGUGACCGCACGCACUAAUCUGUAUAUUGCAAAAAUGUCUUGUCAUUAGCGUUAUUCUGCAGAGGAAGACGAAGGCUCGGGUUGACACAAGAGAUUUUUCAAUUAACUCCAACUGGACGACGAUUUGUUUUCAAGAUAGAGAAUACGCUUAUGUGAGAAGUUUGGUCAGUAGAUGCUGACAGACAGCCCGGAUGAGCCAUCGUACUCAGUGACAUUCGUACCUCAACAGACAAAAGCUUACAUUUAUUGAGAUCAUGAAACUGAAGAUUUCCAUGGGGUGCAUCAUUUGUAACCUGCUUACAUAUUGAAUUCCAACACAGAAUGCAUCAUGCAUCUUUUCAAAGCGCUAAAUUUGAAUACAUCUUCAGACAUUAGAAAGGAUGUACUGCUCUUUUAGCAGACGGCAAAUCGAAAAGCCUAUAGUGGGAAUCAACAUUCACUGGAAUAACGAAACAAUUGUAAACAGUAAUAAAGAAGUGUUACUAUACUGAUUUGUUGCGUUAACGGUGUUUUUUUUUUCAAUUAGAAACGAACAUCUAAAAAUGCAUAAUGUUAUUGAUUGCUAUAAGAUUCUUUCACUGGUUGUAAGUGCAGAUGGGAAUUUCCGGCUUCGAGGGUAACUAUUUAGCCAAGAGCCGGAUAUUCACAUCUGCACCUAUAACCAGUGACAGAAUAUUUUUCUUGCAUACCGACAUGAAGAAAUAAUAAUAAUAAUAAUAAAAUCAAUCGAACUUCUUUAUAGAACUAUUUCUUAUAGCAGCGUAAUUAAACAAAGCGCGGGAAAGCAACGUCCGUAAACAGGAAAGAUGUCAUGACGUUUCAUAGACAAAUAACAAUGUUUAGUUCCGAUUUUGUUUUAUCAGUUGCAGCGUAACGUUAUGAAUUUUUGAUAAAAUAACGUCCUUUGAAUCGAGAAAUAUAUUAUCAGGAACCAAGAGGAACUGUCAAGGUAUUGGAUUUUUAUUUCGUUUUUGAAAGAAAAUAUAACUACAUGAAUCAUCUCCAUAUAUGUAGUUCGUAAUACGUCAUUUAAAGCACGAGAGUCAUCUUACACCCCGGAUGGAUUUUUCCAGCACCGGUAAAAAUACCGGAAAUCCCCGUCUGGUAUGCAAGAAUUACAUUUUCUGCUUAUUUCAUUUGGACAAAAAAUAAAAAUAACGCAUAAUCGUACGAGAAAAAAACAACUUUUUUUUUUUUUUUUUUUUUUUUUUAAAAGUAUUUAUGUUAUAUAUAAUGUAAAUUUAAUCUGACUUGUCUCCAUUGAUGAUAAUGUUUUUCUCAUA